rnacentral:rRNA from 1 species
GUCCUUUUGAUAAUAAUAUAAGGUCUAACCUGCCCACUGAAAUUUUAAAGGGCCGCAGUAUUUUAACUGUGCAAAGGUAGCAUAAUAAUUAGUUUCUUAAUUAGAAGCUGGUAUGAAUGGUUGAACGAGAAAUUUACUGUCUCAAUUUAUAUAUUAAAAUUUUAUUUUUAAGUUAAAAAGCUUAAAUUUAUUUAAAAGACGAGAAGACCCUAUAGAGUUUUAUAGAUUUAAGUAUGUUUUAUUUUAGAAUUUUAUUUUUAUUUAAAUUUAUUUUGUUGGGGUGAUAUAUAAAUUUAAUAAACUUUAUAUUUUUAAUAACAUAAAUUAAUGUUAAAUUGAUCCAUAAAAAUGAUUAUAAGAAAAAAUUACCUUAGGGAUAACAGCGUAAUUUUUUUUUAGAGUUCAAAUCGAAAAAAAAGGUUGCGACCUCGAUGUUGGAUUAAAAUUAAUUUUUGGUGUAGAAGCUAAAAUAUUAGGUCUGUUCGACCUUUAAAAUUUUACAUGAUCUGAGUUUAAACCGGCGUGAGCCAGGUUGGUUUCUAUCUUUAAAAAAAUUAAAUAUUUUAGUACGAAAGGACCAAAUAUUUUUAAAAUUUAAUAUUUUUUGAAUA